UGGAACCUCGGGGGGCAGCAGUGAGGAAUAUUGGUCAAUGGCCGCAGGGCUGAACCAGCCAAGUCGCGUGAGGGAUGACGGUCCUAUGGAUUGUAAACCUCUUUUGUCAGGGAGCAAAGGGCGCCACGUGUGGCGCUUUGCGAGUACCUGAAAAAAAAGCAUCGGCUAACUCCGUGCCAGCAGCCGCGGUAAUACGGAGGAUGCGAGCGUUAUCCGGAUUUAUUGGGUUUAAAGGGUGCGCAGGCGGAAUG
rnacentral:rRNA from 1 species